UUAAUGAUGUAUGUGAUGUAGUUUUGGAACAGAGUCUCAAUGGUACCCUAUUUAAACAAUGACAAAUUGACAAUGCUGUUGUACAAGUGCAUUCACAUGACCUCAACAUAUCAAACAGUGUUCCUCUUAGUUUUCUCCUCAAUCUUUAUCUUUUCAUUAAUUUACUCUCCCAUUCCCUUCCUUUAGGUUGUCCAACUGCAUCUGCCGCUGCUCCAUCAAAGCGGUAAUACUAACUGGCUCUGGAAAUCGGCGGAGGAAAAAAGACAGAAGCUUGCCGAAACAAUAUGACAACAAGAUUGUUGAUGAAUUUUUAGAGUGACAACAAGAUUUUUACUUUCCAGCAAGAGUUGCUUUAUUCUUUUAUCACUACUACUCAAUUGUGGCUUACGGUUGCUGUUGGAGUGUUUGAAGCACGUCGCAUAUCAGAGGCAAUUUGAACUCGGGUCUUUCUCCUAGCGACAAAGGCGUCUUUAUGGAUGACGUUACUAAAAGUGAACUUUGGUGGGGGAAAUUACGUACUAUAUAUCCCAGGUUCCAGUUGCACAAACUCACGAUCCCAAGGGUAAGCCUGAUUGCUAUGGUGUCUUCUGCCUUACCUAUGAUUUCAAGGCUAUGAGUAUUCUUCUUCACUACCUUUAUCUAUUUAUUACAUGUAUAUAUGGUGUUUGUCAAUAAGUGCAUGCUGAUGCAUAAUUUCCUUUAUGUAAUGUGUAUAGGCAAAGUUUAUCCACAGUUUAAUUGUAAAAAUCUUUUGGAUCCUGUGUGGUAGCCCAUAUUUGGUGAAGCACACACGAUCUAUUGUCUUUAAUGGCCAUGCAAUUUAUCUCCACAGAGUUGAUUUCUUAUCUCAGCUUGCAUUCGGUAAUGGCAAAUUUUUGAAGAACUACAAGUAAGCGUUCAAUCUUAAUUUUCGUUUCUAUCGUUGUGGGGGUAUGCCAUGACAGAUCCUUGCCAUCAAUCUUCUAUUCUGAUACUGUCAGGAUUACAAACCUAUCCUAUAAUAAAUGUAUUUAAGUCGUCAUGAUUUCCUCAUCACAAAACUCACAUUGUAGAAUCUAUUUGGAUCAACAUCUGUGUAUGCCUACAUUGAAGGCAUUUUCAGUUCUGUUGUUGGAACUACAACAUCUGUGUAUGCUUACAUUUUAGGUACAAUAUUCGACUUUAUUUCUUGCAUGGAGAAAUACCUUGAACUUUUAUGCUUCUUAUCUAAUAAAUUUUUUUUGGCAUCUCACUUUCACGCAAAUUCGGUGCCUUUUUUGCAUCGAUCCCCUACCGAUAAUUGGUGCUAUAUACUGUGUUUUAUUUGGCAUUGUUGGUAAGUGUAGGCCAAACACAUAUAAUUUUUAGUUUUAAUAUUUAUGUCGAGAGAGAGUACUUGCAUAUAUGAAAAUAUAAUCCAAUGAUUUUAUCUUUAUAGGUUACUAACAGGAUCAAUCAUGGCUCAUGAAAUGAUGCAUAACCUGGUUUUAUGUUUGGUCUGUAGGUAUCCUAUAUGCAGAAUCCCAAUGGUCAAACAUUAAGAUAGUAGGAUUGGUUAUGUAACUUUGAUGGGGUGACUGAUAAUUGUAACUUGCUGGGCUGGUCUUGAUUUUAUUGUAUUGAGUUGGUUCUGCAUUAGUUUGGACACAUGUGCACACUAUUGUAUCUAAUGUUGGAGUUGAAGGUGUUGUUGUUGCUGGAAAACUUUAGGAACAGAAUAAUUCUAAUCUUGGUUAUGAUGCCAACAAAGCUUUGUAAUUAGGUGAAUAUGUAGAUAUGGUUAAGUCUAAAAUUAUUGAUCCAUUGAAGGUGGUUAGGACCUUCUUGGUUGACAUAACCAGUGUAUCGUCUUUGAUGAUAACAACCGAAGUUAUUGUUUCUGAACUCCCAAAAGAAGAUAAAGACAGUCCUACAAUGCCUGACAACAUGGGUGGUAUGGAUUAUUAGCUGCUAUGAAGACUUGAAUUAAAGUGGUGUUUCGCCACUAUUAUAGCCUCUCUUUUUAUAUUUGACAUAAGGCAUUCAUGUAAUCAUAAUGAGAGAUGAAAGUUGUAGGUGGGAAGAUUUGUGAUUGUUAUUGUAUAUGAUAUGAUUGAGAUAUUCAGAAUAAUUUGCAUUCCAAAAUAGUUAGGAAUUAUUCCCUUCAUAAG